GAUGGCAUAGCCGAGUGGUAGUGUGUGCGCAUGUGUAGCGAGAGGUUGUGGGUUUGAUCCCCACACCCACCA
rnacentral:tRNA from 1 species